AACGUAGGAGGCGAGCGUUAUCCGGAUUUACUGGGCGUAAAGCGCACGCAGGCGGCUUGGUGAGUCGGACGUGAAAGCUCCUGGCUUAACUGGGAGAGGUCGUUCGAUACUGCCGGGCUUGAGGUUGGGAGAGGGGUGUGGAAUUCCCGGUGUAGUGGUGGAAUGCGUAGAUAUCGGGAGGAACACCAGUGGCGAAAGCGGCACCCUGGCCCACACCUGACGCUGAGGUGCGAAAGCGUGGGUAGCAAACAGG
rnacentral:rRNA from 1 species